CCUCUGUGAAGCCUGAACUCCAGUAGGGCUCAAGCCAGCCAGGAAGGAGGAGGCAGCCAGAGAGGCCUCCACUGUUCUCUGCAGCAGAAGACCCCUUGCUGCCAGAGCUGCUGUGGUUCCCAUUGAGCAUUAGUCAACCCUGUACAGGAAGACCAGGAAUGCAUAGGCCAAUGCUGCAGCUAUCUGGACAGAAGGACCUUCAUACCGCAGGCUAACUGCUAGCAUCAGGUUACCUCAGCUAUGGCGAUGACUGUGUUUAUUUGUGAAGGAGUAAUCUAUCCAGCAAGAGGCACUAUCCUGACGCCUCCAGCUCCUCUGAUGUCAUGAAUUUGAGAGUGAUUUUAGGACAUGUUCAUUUGUGGGACAAGGGCUAGAAAAGAAGAACAUUUUGCAAGGGAAGGAAUUUGUUUUAUGGUGGUGUGAUCCCAGUGAUAUUGGGCUACUAAUUAGCCAUUCAAGGUCUAAGGUUCAAGAGCCACCUGUGGAAGCAGCAUCCUUUGCAGGAUAAAAUGGGCAUUGGAGGAAAGGUGUGUUGAAAUCGAUGUUUGUGGUAAAGCUAAAAAUAAAAAGAAGUAUUGCCCAUGAGACCCUUAUUUCCUAGUGCAUGUCAGUAGCCAAUCGGCAGCCAGAUGGCAUUUGGCCAUGAGGAGGUGAAAGGUCAGUGGACAACUGUAUGAGACUUGGCCUUGCCUUUGGUUACUGAAGAGUGUAUUUCUGAACUAGGUAACUGAAAUGGAAAGGAAUUCAGCUAUCAGAGGUUUGUUUCCUCUUAGAGUGCAAAGAAACGGACAACUAAAAACUUGGAUUCCUGCCAUCCAAAAGUGAAAAACCAAAGGUGAACUCUGGAAGCACAUUCAAAAGUGCUGGACAGGGAUCUCCGUUCAUAAAUAUCUUGCUGCUGCUGAUUGAUGAAAUGGAAGUAUUUUGUAUGUGAAACAAAAUAAAACAUGUUGACGAGAGCAGAGCAAAUAGCCAGCUUGCA